UAAGUGAAGAGUUUGAUCCUGGCUCAGAGUGAACGCUGGCGGUAGGCCUAACACAUGCAAGUCGAACGGCAGCACAGGAGAGCUUGCUCUCUGGGUGGCGAGUGGCGGACGGGUGAGGAAUACAUCGGAAUCUACCUUUUCGUGGGGGAUAACGUAGGGAAACUUACGCUAAUACCGCAUAAGACCUUCGGGUGAAAGCCGGGGACCUUCGGGCCUGGCGCGGAUAGAUGAGCCGAUGCCCGAUUAGCUAGUUGGCGGGGUAAGAGCCCACCAAGGCGACGAUCGGUAGCUGGUCUGAGAGGAUGAUCAGCCACACUGGAACUGAG
rnacentral:rRNA from 1 species